rnacentral:rRNA from 1 species
AGUGAACGCUGGCGGCGUGCUUAACACAUGCAAGUCGAACGAGAACGGAAUAUAGCUUGCUAUAUUUGUCAGCUAAGUGGCGCACGGGCGAGUAAUGUAUAGAUAACCUGCCCUUAAGAAAGGAAUAACAGUUGGAAACGACUGCUAAUGCCCUAUAUGCCUUUAAUACAUAAGUAUGCAAGGGAAACGCUUUAGUGCUUAAGGAUGGGUCUGUAUGGUAUCAGCUUGUUGGUGAGGUAAUGGCUCACCAAGGCUAUGACGCCUAACUGGUUUGAGAGGAUGAUCAGUCACGCUGGAACUGAGACACGGUCCAGACUCCUACGGGAGGCAGCAGUGGGGAAUAUUGCACAAUGGACGAAAGUCUGAUGCAGCAACGCCGCGUGGAGGAUGACACAUUUCGGUGCGUAAACUCCUUAUAUAUAGGAAGAUAAUGACGGUACUAUAUGAAUAAGCACCGGCUAACUCCGUGCCAGCAGCCGCAGUAA